rnacentral:rRNA from 1 species
GAUGAACGCUGGCGGCGUGCCUAAUACAUGCAAGUCGAGCGAACAGACGAGGAGCUUGCUCCUCUGACGUUAGCGGCGGACGGGUGGGUAACACGUGGAUAACCUACCUAUAAGACUGGGAUAACUUCGGGAAACCGGAGCUAAUACCGGAUAAUAUAUUGAACCGCAUGGUUCAAUAGUGAAAGACGGUUUUGCUGUCACUUAUAGAUGGAUCCGCGCCGCAUUAGCUAGUUGGUAAGGUAACGGCUUACCAAGGCGACGAUGCGUAGCCGACCUGAGAGGGUGAUCGGCCACCCUGGAACGGAGACACGGUCCAGACUCCUACGGGAGGCAGCAGUAGGGAAUCUUCCGCAAUGGGCGAAAGCCUGACGGAGCAACGCCGCGUGAGUGAUGAAGGUCUUGGGAUCGUAAAACUCUGUUAUUAGGGAAGAACAAAUGUGUAAGUAACUAUGCACGUCUUGACGGUACCUAAUCAGAAAGCCACGGCUAACUACGUG